CCGGAGGAAGGUGGGAUGACGUCAAGUCAGCAUGGCCUUUAUAUCCUGGGCUACACACACGCUACAAUGGGAAGGGACAAUAGGUUGCGAAGCCGCGAGGCGGAGCCAAUCCAGCAAAAACUUCCCUCAGUUCAGAUUGCAGGCUGCAACUCGCCUGCAUGAAGUUGGAGUUGCUAGUAAACGCAGGUCAGCCAUACUGCGUUGAAUACCGGUUCCCGGGGCUU
rnacentral:rRNA from 1 species